AGCCUUAUAUUCAUAUUUUGUGAUAAUAGAAUGCAAUUCUAUAGGGGUGGUAUAAUAAGAUUUACUACUAAGGCUU
rnacentral:tRNA from 1 species